AACGAACGCUGGCGGCAGGCUUAACACAUGCAAGUCGAGCGCGCGCCUUCGGGCGUGAGCGGCGGACGGGUGAGUAACGCGUGGGAACGUGCCCUUCUCUCCGGAAUAGCCCUGGGAAACUGGGAGUAAUGCCGGAUACGGCCGAGAGGCGAAAGAUUUAUCGGGGAAGGAUCGGCCCGCGUUGGAUUAGGUAGUUGGUGGGGUAACGGCCUACCAAGCCGACGAUCCAUAGCUGGUUUGAGAGGAUGAUCAGCCACACUGGGACUGAGACACGGCCCAGACUCCUACGGGAGGCAGCAGUGGGGAAUCUUGGACAAUGGGGGCAACCCUGAUCCAGCCAUGCCGCGUGAUCGAUGAAGGCCUUAGGGUUGUAAAGAUCUUUCAGCUGGGAAGAUAAUGACGGUACCAGCAGAAGAAGCCCCGGCUAACUCCGUG
rnacentral:rRNA from 1 species